rnacentral:lncRNA from 1 species
GACAAUGCUGGGUAUGCUCAGCUGAUGCAGCUAUCUUUUUUCAUGUGUAUUGCUACUAAACAAAGUAAGCAUUCAUAUUUCAUGUAUUAUUUUGUCAGGUAUGCGUCAACGUAUGCAAGGGAACUUGUAAUGAAGAUGAGGGAAGAUGGUGUGUACAUGAGGCCGCUUGGUAAUGUCAUCUAUCUCAUGUCUACGCCUUUGACAAACCCCCUUACUUGCAAGGAUUUGCUCCUCAAGCUUUUCACCAGACUGCAACAAUUCCGACACUAAUCGUAAGAAAAAAAAACCAAAUAAGCAACUCCCCCACGUAGGGGUAGUGAAUUUUCUCAUUUAUUUAUGAGCUCUCUGUUGGAUCUUUGGAGGAGUUCCAUUAUUAAUAGAAUCGUCGUCCGUACGCACUUGCUGUAACUCUGAUGCAUGUCCAAUUGCAGACAUAUCUCUGAACCAUUAGAUUUCCCCAAUUAAAAUGGACGGUGAGAUUUUGUAAAUUUCCGUUCUUGCAAAAAGAUGACCGGCCUGAACUAUAUUCUACGUACAGUAGUCCGGCGCUUUGAACGGAGGGCUACGAUACGAUAUAUGUCCUCCGCCGCCGGAAUGGCUACGAUAUAUGUCCUCGAAAUCUUCCAAGGUUCCACACUAGCUAGUCCUUGAAACUAAUGUAAUAUACGCGGAAAGAAACAAAAGAAAAAUCAUGACAAAUUUCAAGACUUGUUAAAACGUGAAACAAAAUCGAAUAUUCAUGAUUCAUUCAAAACGAUACGGAGCGUCGGGAAGGUGUUUUUCAAAGUAGGAACAACAAAAACUUACCCUAAAAAUCUUCCACCGCUGUAGUUGGCCGCCCUUCAAAGGGAUGAACCCAUUGAUCCGAAGCAGGAGAAUAAGGAAGAAUGGAUCCAAGAUCGGAGAAGGAAGAAGAAGGAAGAGGAGAUAUCCGUCAAGUUCUUGGAGGCGGUGGAUAUCUUGUCUUCUUCUCCUUCCCCCCCUCCGAUCAUCGGACAACCGAUCUCCGCCGCCCAAGGCAUUGGAUCGAUGGGUUCCCUUUGUUUUGCCAAAAGAUUCAUCUUUCCUGCGUCCAAAAAAAAAACCCCACAACGUAAAUCCUACAAAGUUUGAUAUUUGACGCCAAAAUACCUUAUCAAUUUGGUUUCUUCUCCUCUGUUUCUUGUUACUAAAACAUUGAAACUCAUAUAACAUAACAUACACGAAAAAAAGUAGAACAAAACAACAAGAUCCAGACCAUCGACUAAAAACCAAACAUUGUUUUGAUAUGAAGCGUCGGUAACGUGUUUUCCAAAUUACAAACAAAGAAAACUCACCCAAGACUUUCCCUGGUGUAGUUUGCCGCCGUUCACGAGGUGAACUCCACUGAUCCAAAGCAGAAGAUUUCUGACACCCGAAGAAUCCAUCCAAGAUCGGAGGACAGAAGAAGAUGGACGAAGAGGGGAUAGCAACCACCUCCAAGAAAUAGAUGUCAAGAACCGACGUACGGUAUUGGUUGCUGACGGAUUAUCUCGGUUGUCUCUCGGUCAUCGUCCGACGACCGAAAUAAUCUGUCAGCAACCAAUUCCGGCGGCUCUAUUUUGCUUUGGAA